GCCCGGGUGUCCUCGCGCCGCUUGUCCGCGCGCAACCUGGCAGUUUGCCUCUUCCUCGUCCUCCAGCCUGCGUCCAUGGCCACCGCGGCGGCCGAGGAGCCCUUCCCCUUCCACGGCCUCCUGCCCAAGAAGGAGACCGGGGCCGCCUCCUUCCUCUGUCGCUACCCGGAGUAUGACGGGCGGGGGGUGCUCAUCGCCGUCCUGGACACGGGGGUCGACCCCGGAGCUCCAGGCAUGCAGGUUACAACUGAUGGAAAACCAAAAAUCAUUGAUAUCAUUGAUACAACAGGAAGUGGUGAUGUGAAUACUGCUACAGUAGUGGAGCCCAAAGAUGGUGAGAUUGUCGGUCUUUCAGGAAGAGUGCUCAAGAUUCCUGUGAGCUGGACAAAUCCCUCAGGCAAAUAUCAUAUUGGCAUUAAAAAUGGCUAUGAUUUCUAUCCAAAGGCACUCAAAGAAAGGAUACAGAAAGAACGGAAGGAAAAAAUCUGGGAUCCUGUUCACAGGGUGGCCCUUGCAGAAGCCUGUAGAAAACAAGAAGAAUUUGAUGUUGCCAACAAUUGCCCUUCUCAAGCAAAUAAAUUAAUCAAGGAGGAACUUCAAAGUCAAGUGGAAUUGCUAAAUUCUUUUGAGAAAAAAUAUAGUGAUCCUGGCCCUGUGUAUGACUGCUUGGUGUGGCAUGAUGGUGAAGCCUGGAGAGCCUGCAUUGAUUCGAAUGAAGAUGGGGAUUUGAGUAAAUCUACCGUAUUGAGAAACUACAAAGAGGCCCAAGAAUAUGGUUCCUUUGGCACAGCUGAGAUGUUAAAUUACUCUGUUAAUAUAUAUGAUGAUGGAAACCUGCUCUCCAUUGUGACCAGUGGAGGAGCUCAUGGAACACAUGUAGCUAGUAUAGCUGCUGGGCAUUUUCCAGAAGAACCUGAACGGAAUGGUGUAGCUCCCGGUGCUCAAAUUCUUUCCAUCAAGAUCGGUGAUACCCGACUGAGCACAAUGGAAACAGGCACGGGCCUUAUACGCGCUAUGAUAGAAGUCAUAAGUCAUAAGUGUGAUCUUGUCAACUACAGCUAUGGAGAAGCAACUCACUGGCCAAAUUCUGGGAGAAUUUGUGAGGUAAUCAGUGAAGCAGUGUGGAAGCAUAACAUCAUUUACGUCUCAAGCGCUGGGAACAAUGGUCCAUGUCUUUCUACGGUCGGCUGUCCGGGUGGAACGACAUCCAGUGUCAUAGGUGUUGGUGCAUAUGUUUCUCCCGAUAUGAUGGUUGCUGAGUAUUCUCUGAGAGAGAAAUUACCGGCAAAUCAGUACACAUGGUCUUCAAGAGGCCCCAGUGCUGAUGGGGCCCUUGGAGUAAGUGUCAGUGCGCCAGGAGGAGCCAUUGCUUCUGUUCCCAACUGGACAUUGAGAGGAACUCAGCUAAUGAACGGGACGUCCAUGUCUUCUCCCAAUGCGUGUGGGGGCAUCGCCCUGAUACUUUCAGGUCUGAAAGCUAAUAAUGUUAACUACACGGUUCAUUCAGUCAGAAGAGCUCUAGAAAAUACUGCAGUAAAGGCUGACAAUAUAGAAGUAUUUGCCCAAGGACAUGGUAUUAUUCAGGUUGAUAAAGCCUAUGACUACCUCGUUCAGAAUACAUCAUUUGCUAAUAAAUUAGGUUUCACUGUUACCGUUGGAAAUAACCGCGGCAUCUACCUCCGAGACCCUGUUCAGGUGGCUGCACCUUCAGAUCAUGGCGUUGGCAUUGAACCUGUAUUUCCUGAAAAUACCGAAAACGCUGAAAAAAUAUCCCUUCAGCUUCAUUUAGCUUUAACUUCAAAUUCAUCUUGGGUUCAGUGUCCCAGCCAUUUGGAGCUCAUGAAUCAAUGUAGACACGUAAACAUACGUGUGGAUCCCAGGGGCCUAAGAGGAGGAUUACACUAUACAGAGGUAUGUGGCUAUGAUAUAGCAUCCCCUAAUGCAGGUCCUCUGUUCAGAGUUCCAAUCACUGCAGUUAUAGCAACCAAAGUAAACGAAUCGUCACAUUAUGAUCUAGCCUUGACAGAUGUACAUUUUAAACCUGGUCAAAUUCGAAGGCAUUUUAUUGAGGUCCCUGAGGGUGCAACAUGGGCUGAAGUUACUGUGUGUUCGUGUUCUUCUGAGGUGUCAGCCAAGUUUGUUCUUCAUGCCGUGCAGCUUGUGAAGCAAAGAGCGUAUCGAAGUCAUGAAUUCUAUAAGUUUUGUUCCCUUCCAGAAAAAGGAACACUGACUGAAGCUUUUCCUGUCUUAGGUGGGAAAGCAAUUGAGUUUUGCAUUGCUCGUUGGUGGGCAAGUCUUAGUGAUGUCAAUAUUGAUUAUACCAUUUCUUUCCAUGGAAUAGUGUGUACUGCUCCUCAGUUAAACAUUCAUGCGUCGGAAGGAAUCAAUCGUUUUGAUGUUCAGUCCUCCUUGAAGUAUGAAGAUCUGGCUCCCUGCAUAACUUUGAAGAGCUGGGUCCAGACCCUACGCCCACUGAGUGCAAAAACAAAACCUUUAGGAUCACGAGAUGUUUUGCCGAAUAAUCGUCAGCUUUAUGAGAUGAUCCUGACUUAUAACUUUCAUCAGCCCAAGAGUGGGGAAGUAACUCCAAGCUGCCCACUACUUUGUGAACUAUUAUAUGAAUCAGAAUUUGACAGCCAACUGUGGAUUAUAUUUGACCAGAACAAAAGACAGAUGGGUUCAGGAGAUGCCUAUCCACAUCAGUAUUCUUUGAAACUGGAGAAAGGAGAUUAUACAAUUCGACUACAGAUUCGUCAUGAGCAGAUCAGUGAUUUGGAACGUCUUAAAGAUCUCCCAUUCAUUGUUUCUCAUAGGUUGUCAAAUACCUUGAGCUUAGAUAUUCAUGAAAAUCAUAGCCUUGCACUUCUAGGAAAGAAGAAAUCAAGUAAUUUGACAUUACCACCCAAAUAUAACCAACCAUUCUUUGUUACCUCCUUACCUGAUGACAAAAUACCUAAAGGGGCAGGACCUGGUUGCUACCUUGCAGGAUCCUUAACAUUAUCAAAGACUGAACUUGGGAAGAAAGCUGGGCAGUCUGCAGCAAAACGACAAGGAAAAUUUAAAAAGGAUGUGAUCCCUGUUCAUUACUACCUAAUACCUCCGCCAACAAAGACUAAGAAUGGCAGCAAAGAUAAAGAAAAAGAUUCAGAAAAAGAGAAAGAUUUAAAAGAAGAGUUCACUGAAGCAUUACGAGAUCUUAAAAUUCAGUGGAUGACAAAGCUGGAUUCCAGUGACAUUUAUAAUGAAUUGAAAGAAACAUAUCCUAAUUAUCUUCCUCUGUAUGUUGCAAGACUUCAUCAGUUGGAUGCUGAAAAGGAACGGAUGAAAAGACUUAAUGAAAUUGUUGAAGCUGCAGAUGCUGUGAUUUCUCAUAUAGAUCAAACGGCCCUAGCAGUUUAUAUGGCAAUGAAGACUGACCCCAGGCCCGAUGCAGCUACUAUAAAAAAGUACCUAACCAUGAUAUGGACAAACAGAAAUCUACCCUCGUGGAUGCCCUUUGUAGAAAAGGAUGUGCCCUAGCCGACCAUCUUCUUCAUGCACAAGAUCAAGACGGGGCUGUUUCAAAUGAUACGGAAGGAAGAGAGGAGGAAAGAGAAAAUACUCUGGAUUCUGUGAUGGAAACUUUUUGGGAAACUACAAAAUGGACUGAUCUUUUUGACAAUAAGCUCCGUGGCCAGAAGAGGAAGAAAAUGUAUGGAGUGUGGCUAAGCUGGGCUCUGAAGAAGACGUUGUGUUUAGUUUUAACAUUUGCAUACAAGCAUGCAUUAGUACAUAAAUUGUAUGGGAGAGGCCUUAAAUUUGCAACUAAACUUGUGGAAGAAAAACCAACAAAAGAAAACUGGAAAAAUUGUAUUCAACUGAUGAAGUUACUUGGAUGGACCCAUUGUGCAUCUUUUACUGAAAACUGGCUCCCCAUCAUGUAUCCUCCUGAUUAUUGUGUAUUCUAAAAUAGGAACCAAGACUUUACAUU